rnacentral:tRNA from 1 species
GAGGGUAUAGCUCAUGGCAGAGUGCAUGCCUAGCAUACAUGAGGUACUGGCUUCAAUCCCCAGUACCAUUA